ACCUUUUAAAAAUAUUGUCAUGAAUUGGUAGCCCUAGUUUUCAGAUGGGGACAAAAAAUGUUUAGAAUUCUAUGUGCAUGCAUUACUCAAGCUGCAGGAGUAUGUGGGAAGCAGAGCACUUCAAUUUCACCAAAACACCUCUUAUACUGGAGUGCUGGUUCUUCCUGGUUAGCACAGAGAGCUGAACUGUGUGUGCCAGGUGAUCUGCAGUGGAGAACAGCAUCAUUAUUAAAAGGCUUAGACAUUCCAUGCCAUUUGUGCUUCUGCGACAUAUGUAGUACAGCAAAGGAGAGAUUUGGCUGUGAGGGAAAAGUCAUCAAGGAGUCCUUGCAUCCAUUAUAAUCUUCAUCUGGGCUGAUAAAUGUGAUCAGUCGACCAGAGGGAACAGGUAAGCCUUGGCUGUCACAAGUACCUUAGAUCUGUGAUAUUUUCCACUGAGAAGAGUUAAAAGGAUGUCCCUUGCUGUCAAAGGGUAUCCAAGGGAAGGAUAAGCUCUUUUCCAGAGUUACCAAGGAAAGAGAGAAGGUGUGGGUGAGGCAGAUCACAGACUGCUUGUGUCAUAAGUAGCUAUGCUGUGUCAAUUUCUUGCUGCUGGGGACAUUAUUUAGAUGAACACCAGGUACAGGUGACAACUACAUUUUUCUUUGAAGUCCCUGGGCUGGAUUACAAGCUUGUGGGUGUGAUUUCAUGCUGGAAGAAUUGCAUAGGUGAGGUGAGCAUUGCCUUGGGAGUGCCACUGCAAAAUUGUCCUGAGUCCCCCUUCCAGCCUGGUAUUCUAUGAUUAUAUGAUUGCUCAGUAAAACUUUUCUGCUGCUUCUUUUAGGACUUGUGUUUUCACUUUUAUAUUGUCUUUCAAAAAAAUAGAAAUUGGAAAAAAUCUAUGGAUUCAAAUAAUUAGAGUCAAACUGUGUCCACAGCUCCCCUUUGCUGAUUAUGCACCAUCAUUAAGGUGAUUGGUGAUAAAAUCAUCUGACUCUUAAAGAAGUCUUGAACCUUUACAGUGGCAUGUUAAAAGCUUUCAUGUUGGUCUAGACUUCUUUAGUUUCUUGUUUCCUCUCUGCAGCUGCCAUGGGCAUCUCCAGUCUGAGCACAUUUCCCCCCUCCUCUUUGAAGUAAAUAGACAUUUUCCAGUUAAUAUUUAUGAUAACAUACCUGUGGAGUGGGAAAAAACUCCACCUUCUAGAUGUGAUAUUCUGACCUAAAGGUGAAUUAUGAUAUUUCACUUUGAGAUUUUUGGAGAAGUGGUAUUCAGCAUAUUAAUAAUGAUGCUAACUCUUAUACUGCUAGGGUUGAAUCUGGAUUGUCCAGUUCCAG
rnacentral:lncRNA from 1 species